GACGAAGAACGUAGCAAAAUGCGAUAAGUAAUGUGAAUUGCAGAAUUCAGUGAAUCAUCGAAUCUUUGAACGCACAUUGCGCCCGCCAGUAUUCUGGCGGGCAUGCCUGUUCGAGCGUCAUUUCAACCAUCAAGCCCCAGGCUUGUGUUGGGGACCUGCGGCUGCCGCAGGCCCUGAAAACCAGUGGCGGGCUCGCUAGUCACACCGAGCGUAGUAGCAUACACAUCGCUCAGGGCGUGCUGCGGGUUCCGGCCGUUAAACCCCUUUUUUACCCAAGGUUGACCUCGGAUCAGGUAGGAAGACCCGCUGAACUUAAGCAUAUCAAUAAGCGGAGGA
rnacentral:misc_RNA from 1 species